ACGAACGCUGGCGGCAUGCCUAGCACAUGCAAGUCGAACGAGACCUUCGGGUCUAGUGGCGCACGGGUGCGUAACGCGUGGGAACCUGCCCUUAGGUUCGGAAUAACUCCCCGAAAGGGGUGCUAAUACCGGAUAAUGCCUUCGGACCAAAGAUUUAUCGCCUUCGGAUGGGCCCGCGUUGGAUUAGCUAGUUGGUAGGGUAAAAGCCUACCAAGGCGACGUUCCAUAGCUGGUCGGGGAGGAUGAUCAGCCACACUGGGACUGAGACACGGCCCAGACUCCUACGGGGGGGAGCAGUGGGGAAUAUUGGACGAUGGGCGAAGGCCUGAUCCAGCAAUGCCGCGUGAGUGAUGAAGGCCUUAGGGUUGUAAAGCUCUUUUACCCGGGAUGAUAAUGACAGUACCGGGAGAAUAAGCUCCGGCUAACUCCGUG
rnacentral:rRNA from 1 species